UUUUCAGAAUAAUGAUUUCGCAUCCAGGUUUGAGCCUACCUACUUGAAAGGGAAUAGAUAGAUAUUCGACACAAUGAGCAAAUUUAGCUUUGACAAGUUGAAAGGACGAAAUCAGGAACUUCCAACUCUAAGGUUCAGUUCUAACUCACAGGGUUUGGAGAUAGUUGAUCAGUUUCUUGGUUUUUCUGAAAAAGAGAAUGUUAGUGUCAAUGAAACUACUUCCUCUGAGCCUGGAUCGAUUUCAAGCAGCCAGAGUAACGAUCCUAAAUUGAUUUCUGUUGAUUAUUCAUCAACUCCUCCUACUCGAUCCUCAGAGGAGUCUGAUCAAUCAAUUACCCCGAUCGGCCAAUUGGAUCAUUUAGAAAGCUCCAUUAGUUCAUCUACUGAUCAGCUGAAGGAUUCUUAUACAAGUUUUCCAUCCCUGCCCUUGGACAAGGACACAUCUCCUCUCAAGGAGAGGUUGUUAAUCUCCUUUGCGAAGCUUGCUCCAGAUCCAGGAGGAAAAGACGAGCAGGAGGGAUCAUGGCUUCAUCAAGUAAAGGGAAAGCUGGCGAAAACUGUAGAUACAAGUCUGGAGAAGUAUGCUGAACUUAAAGCAGAACGAAGCAGUAGAAACAGUAAACUUGAGCAGUCUGGAAGUUUGGAUCUUGAAGACCCUGUUCCAGUCACAAGAAGAAUUUCUCAUUCUUAUUCAGAGAUGACACUUCAACUCAAACCAGAGGAAACCUCGGUCGAAACCCCUCGUCCUCAGUCACAAAUCUUUGAAUUCGACUCUGCAGACUGGGUUGGAGAGAAAACGGAACCCAAACCUUGUCAACUAAAUCCAGAAAGAAUAAAUCUGGAUCUAACCAAACAUGAUCAAUCCUUACCUAAUCCAGGAGACUUACUGAGUAGUUCAGCUGAGAGUAGAACUGCAGAAACCCCAACCAAGACGAGGAAACGGUUUGGAAUGUCAUUCCUAGAUAGAACACCAGUCCUAGAUAGACCUCCAGGUUCACCAGUGGAUACUCCUAAACGUUCUUUUCGUUCCCUAAUGCGCAGUUAUGUAUCAAAACCAACUACAGAGUUAAGUUCGAGUCCAGCAUCUUCCUUGCACCACAACCUUCAAGAUAGUUUGAUUCUAUUUGAAGAUCCUUUCUCUGGUGCUGAUUUAGUAACCGUAGACCAGUCGGAGGCUAAACACGAGGAGGUUGCUGAACCUGUGGACGAGGACGGAGUAGAUGCUCUGGAAGCAGAUGAAAUGGUUCAACUAGACGACCCAGCAGUUAAACAGGAUAAUGAAUCUGUUCUCUCUCCUCCACCAGUAUCAGUUCCAAGCAUACAUACUGUUCCAUUGACAGAUUUUGUCAGUCCUGUUGUUAUCUGUAUCCUCACUAUUGUCAAUUUUACAGGUUUGUUCCCAUCUUGGCUAUCCGGGUUCGUGACUGGGCUCAUGGUUUGUGGAAUAUCCUUGGUUUGGAUUCUUCUCAAACUCUAUCCUUCAGUAUCCUACUCCCCUUCCAGAAGAAAUACUGUAUCUACACAUAUAACUGUACAUGAGCCACCUCUACCAGUUGAAGCCUGGAUGAACCUUCUCCCUCAGAAGUUCCACCCCUAUGACGUGGACAAGUACGAGGUGAAGAACACCAUCUCUGUCAAGGUGACGGUGGAACAUCAGAUGCUCAAGAUAGAAUAUCCAGAUAAGAAUAUACCUAAGAGAUUGAAUACUGAUGAAGUCAUCCCAGCAGAUUUGAAAUUCCAUUUCCAUACAGAUCAUGUUGAUCUUACAACAGCAAGGAUUGGUUUGCUACCAGAUGGAAUAGCUGGCAAGCGUAUGUUUAGUAAAAAGUAUCCAAUUGAGAUUCGACCAAACUGUGUGUCCGCACCGGAUACCCUCGACUCCGACCGGGAGCUGGAUGUUUCCAAACCAAACCAAGCCCAUGCGCACCUCAACCUGCACGCACAGAAGGCCGAUUCCGAGUUUCAUAGCUUAGAUUCACCAGUUUCAACCAAAGACGAUACAGAGAAGGAUAUAGACGAGCUGGAUGACGAAUCACCAACUGCAGAGAUUGCUGAAAGUGAUGAGAAGGUUUUCUAUCUGUUUGCAAGAGCUGACAGAGAGAAAGAGGACAUAUAUAAAGCUUUAAUGAACGCUCAUUAUUUCCUGGCCGAUACAUUUCUAGACGUUACAAGAAAACCAACAGAUUCAAACAGAAAAUUCAGGCGUGAGACUGUACGGGAACGGAAAUCCAACUUUGUUGAGUUUAUGUCUAAAAUACUGGAACAGCCAACACCAUCAAUACAGGGAUCUGAAACAUCUACGGACUGGUGUAUUCACUUCUUCAAUGUUUAUUUGCACAGGAUUUUUUACGAUAUUCAUAAAAGUCUGGAAGUAAAGAAUCUCCUUCGAACACGGAUUCAUAACAAACUUCUCAAGAUCAAGAUCACACAGUGGUUUAAGCAGAUUAGUGUCACAGAGAUAGAUAUGGGAAGCAACCUACCUAAGAUUCAAUGGGUAUCUCGACCUACUCAAAAUGAGCGAGGACUGUGGGUUCAGCUCGGAGUAGAGUACGGCGGUAUUGCCUCAGCUACUAUAGAGACCUGCGGGUUCAAUCUAGUUGAAGAACAUGCCGAGGCUGGUGGAGUUCAUCUCAAAGCUCUUCUUGAAGAGCACCCAGAGGCAAUUCCAGUCCGGCCUCCUAGUCCAGGUCGAAAGUCUAGUCGUAUAGAGGCUGCUACCAACAGCGAGGAGGAGGACAGCGCGGAGUCCGACUCCGAGGAGAGCGGUGAAACUCCUCAAAGCUUUGUCGAGUCCCCAGCUCAUAGGACUAGAUGGUGGGAGAUGGUUGGAAACAGUGAGAUUGUAAAGACGGGAAUAAAUCGACUGUCCAACUCGGAAUGGUGGAAAGCAAAAACAAGCAAGAAAAUGACCCUUCAGCUUGAGGUUGUGAGUUUGAAGGGUGUUAUAGUAUUAAAUAUUCCUCCCCCUCCUUCUGACAGAAUCUGGUAUGGAUUCAAAAAUAAACCAGAACUGGAUCUUCGCAUAUUGCCCUACUACGGAGAUGUAAAACUAGGCGAGGAUGGUAGCUUGUUCUCUACAGCUGUUAACAAAGGAAUUCAUGUCUUGGUCAACAGAUUAAAGGACGAGAUUCAUAAGUUUAUCCUUCUACCAAAUAUGGACGAUCUUCCAGUUAAAAUCAUGUCCGCCUUCCCCACCUCCAAUCUCCAGCCUAAUCUUUCUUGAUUCAAGUACAGUACAUACAGUACAGUACAGCACUAAAAUUAUAAGCGUAUCAGUUCUAUCUCUAAAUUAAGUUCAUUGUACAUACAAAGUUGUGAACUCUGAUUUUCAAUGUAUAUUUACUGUGAGAAAGUAUUCAUUUCUGCUUUUUCCAACGAUUUAAUCAUAUGCUUUAGGCGCAAAUUUUAAGCAUUUAAUCAAAAAUUUUGACAUUAUUUAUUUUCAUAGAUUUUUAUUGGAAGCUUUAACUUCGUAUAAAUCUUUUUAAAUUAUAGUUUUAUUCGCACGUCUCCUAAUUCUUAUGUUUACAGGGACACCCUGUAUGUUAUCAAGUUUCUAAAUGUAUGUGACGGACUAAAAAAGCCCAAAAAUUAACUGAUUUCUUGUCAGACCUUUUAUCUUCUCUUGAUAAACCUUUUGUGAAAUGAAAUAGAGCAUUUUACCCAAAUUUAAGGGUGAUUAUACUAAACUUGUAUCUCUGUCAAGAUUUGGUAUUUGUACUUAUGUAAGUUGACGUUGUGAUAAACCCUUUUGUGAUUUGUUGAUUAAUAAACUUUAUACUUAAA
rnacentral:misc_RNA from 1 species